rnacentral:rRNA from 1 species
AGUGAACGCUGGCGGUAGGCCUAACACAUGCAAGUCGAACGGCAGCACAGUAAGAGCUUGCUCUUACGGGUGGCGAGUGGCGGACGGGUGAGGAAUACAUCGGAAUCUACUUUUUCGUGGGGGAUAACGUAGGGAAACUUACGCUAAUACCGCAUACGACCUACGGGUGAAAGCAGGGGAUCUUCGGACCUUGCGCGAUUGAAUGAGCCGAUGUCGGAUUAGCUAGUUGGCGGGGUAAAGGCCCACCAAGGCGACGAUCCGUAGCUGGUCUGAGAGGAUGAUCCGCCACACUGGAACUGAGACACAGUCCAGACUCCUACGGGAGGCAGCAGUGGGGAAUAUUGGACAAUGGGCGCAAGCCUGAUCCAGCCAUACCGCGUGGGUGAAGAAGGCCUUCGGGUUGUAAAGCCCUUUUGUUGGGAAAGAAAAGCAGCAGGUUAAUACCCCGCUGUUCUGACGGUACCCAAAGAAUAAGCACCGGCUAACUUCGUG